AAAGUGUAUCUGUACAUUUUAUUGAAAGAAACCCCUCCAAGGAAAUAACAUUUGUAUAGGAAAUACACAUAACACAAGGAAAUCACCCCAAAUAAUCUACAUUUCUUUAAAAAAAAAAAAAAAAAAAAAAAAGUUGUGUCUAGCAAUUGUUACAUCUUUACUUCAGUCAUAAGUGCAUUCAGUUUUCUGGCAACAGGCAAAAAAAUAAAGUCUCUAAAAAUGAAAUUGACAUGGUGAAGUUCUCUUUGCUUUUUUUUAUUUUUUUUUAUUUCACAAAACAACUAGCAGAUUUUGUAAUUAACAUUCUGGUUGAGCUGAUGAAAAAUUCUCUUCCGUUUGCUUAGUUUUACUGUACAUUGGAGCGUUAAGAUACAUCAAAAAAAAAAAAAAAAAUCAAGAAAAACAAUAAAGCUUACUAGUAGAACCAUGCAAUGGAGGUUGACAUACAUUUACACAACAGCCAGAAGUUUUUCUCCUAUUUAUCUCCCUCCCACCCAUUUCAUUCAUUAAGUGUUCAUCCUAGGGGUAAACAAAAUAACAAAAGGAAGCUUCGGAAGCUAGGCUCCAGUUCAAAUCCUGUACAUUGGAUACAUUUACUUCAGCAUGUCUUAUGAAUUUUCCAAGAGAAAAGCUUCACCUCUGAUAAACUGUUCAUUCAGUUCUAUAAAGUAUUAGCCUAAAAAGAAUAUUAACUUUUAGUAACAAGUUGUGCCUCUCACAGAUUUCUGUUUAACCAAAGAACUGAUCAACACUAACACUGACAGCCUAACAUAAUGUCAAACUACAUAAAAGUAUAACUGUGGGAAAAAAAUGAAAUCAAACAUAUGUAUUUAAGAAUAUUAACACAUGACCUGACUGGAGAUGAACUUAAUACGACAUGAAAAAAACAUGGUACCUGACUGGACAAUAACAUGCGUGCUAACAAACAAAUCUUAAGUGACCAUCUUAAAGAAUAAUCAUUUAUAAAUAGCACAAAUUAAAAAUGUUAAAACUACAGUUCUAUUUAUAAAUAUACAGAGCUUUUUAUUGUUAAAAGAGGUCUUAUCAUCAAUUUUUAAAUAAGAUUAUGUAGCCAAUUAGAGUGUUUAAUGUACAAAUACAGUAAAAAAAAAAAAAAAACAA